CUUGAUCGAGCCCAGCGCCAGCGGCGUGGUCCGGUCCUGGCCGUAGGUGGCCAGCACCGCUUGGGCCUC
rnacentral:antisense_RNA from 1 species